GGAUACAAUGAGAAGGUGGCAGUCUACACGCAGAAAAAAAGUCCCUCACCAUAACCCUACCGUGUUAUCACCUUGAUGUCGGACCAACCUCCAGAACUGUGAGAAAUAAAUUUCUGUUGUGAUUAGUCACCCAGUUUAGGGUACAUUGUUAUAGAAGGCCGAACUAGCACAGAGAUGGAAUCCCAUGGAGGGUCUCUAAUUUGCUAAGCUGGUCAUCAGGCGGGAUGUUGCAAGUCAGAAACAGGAAGAGUUGACUUUUUGUGCAUAUGAAAGAAGAUAGUGGACAGGCCCAUUGUGUCGACUUUGUCCGCUUUGGCAAACUGGAGACGGAAACUGGAUUCACCUUCGCCAGCCACGGGAGGACCCGGAGGACCUUCCAAGGAGGUUAGGUCGACUUCGUGGUAACUUUAGAUCCUGCAACCACACAGGAUUUUUCUUGUCCUCCCUGUGAUCUCUCUUCUGCCUACCCAACAGGACAGGACAGCACACCGCCUUUCUUUCCCGUCAGAAAAGGGAAAGGACCGAAGUGAACAGCCGGUUUCCCCUACGUGUCCUUCCGGGCCUGGGCGUCUCGGGAGCUCAGGCUGACCCGAGACCUAACUCCUGGCGAGUGGGACCAACAGGAUCCUGGAAGAGCGCGCGCACCGGGGUGGAGGUUCGGCGCCGAGGGUCGAGAACCGCAGUCAAACCCUGUUCUUCCCCGCGCACCGCGCACCUGCCCCCGGGGAUGCCGAAGGAAGUGGCCCAUAAAACUUCUCUGCAACCAAAAGAGGCCUGAAGCUCCAGGAGAGGGCGAGAGGAGCCUCGUUGAGUGAACCCAGCCCUCUGCCUGGCUGGCCCUGGUCAACAGGCUCGGAAGAGGCCGAUUUGGAGGACAGAACGGAAGAAAAGACUUAAAGGUUUCGAAUCUCAUGAUAUGGAGAUGUUAAAAGCCUCCGAUCCUAAGGGCCGAUUGUACCGGGGAGCGAGGGUGUCUCCAGCUGGAUGGAGCCCUGAGCCUUCAUCUGGAGAGUCCUCUGCACAAGUUCAGAGAGCACGACAACCCGCAGCAAUGGUUCUCAAGAGGGGGCAACUUCGCCCUUACACGCCUCUCCCAUCCUCGCUGGGACACUAGGCCACGACUGGGGGAAGCGGGGAGGGAGAAUGUUAACCCCCGGCUUGUAUCUAGUCAGCGGAGGGACGGAUGCUGCUAAACACCUUACAAUCCACCGCGGGAGGGCCCCUCCCCCGCCCGGAAAUAGCCAUUCGGCAGAGGAGGAGAAACUCGCGUGUAGAUCAAUGCCACGCACUUGGCCGAUGGGAACUCACGAAUGGGUGACCAAUUGGAUCUCGGAUCUGAGGAUAAAACUCCAGCGUCAGAGGGAAGUCUGGAAGUUUUGUCCGGAGCAAACGCAAGGGUGGCGUUGCCUUCGCGGAAGAUGGGAAAAUGGCAGGUGUCACAGGUUGCAGGGGAAGGUCGGAGACCAGCUGAGGGCCCCGGAGCCUUCCUGGAAAGACUUUCCCAUCCAGCCCGUCUCGGUUUCCGCAUCCGUCUGAUUCCUUAUGAUGUUGAGGGUGCCAGGUUCUGUGUCCUUUAUGAUGCAGAGGGUGCCCCCGUCUCACCCCGGGCGCCUCCCGGCUCCCGCCGCCUCCUGGCAAUCUGGUGCGCGGCUCCCGACCUGGCGACCCGCGACUGUCUGGUCAUUUACUGCCGCCUCGCAAAGGCGCAUCUCUAGUUCAGUGGUGAGCUGCGGCCGGGUCGCUGCAACUCGCUGCAGGACUUGGGACUCCUGACCUUGGUGUCCCUCUCGGAGCCCUCGGUGUGUCGCCUGCAGGCUCUCUUUUUUGAAGAAAGCAGGGAUGGAAGAGCCUUGUGAGACGACUCCAGGAGCAAAGAGCGACCCUCACAAGGUCCAAGUCCUCCCAGAGCACAGGGAAACUGUGGCUUCAGAGCAAAGAAGGGAGAGCAAGGGACCUUGUGUAUGUCCCUGGUGGUCUAGUGGCUAG